CAUUUCCUACGGGACGCAGCAGUGGGGAAUAUUGCACAAUGGGGGAAACCCUGAUGCAGCGACGCCGCGUGAGUGAAGAAGUAUUUCGGUAUGUAAAGCUCUAUCAGCAGGGAAGAAAAUGACGGUACCUGACUAAGAAGCCCCGGCUAACUACGUGUCAGCAGCCGCGGUAAUACGUAGGGGGCAAGCGUUAUCCGGAUUUACUGGGCGUAAAGGGAGCGUAGACGGUAGAGCAAGUCUGAAGUGAAAGCCCGCG
rnacentral:rRNA from 1 species